rnacentral:rRNA from 1 species
AGCUCCAAUAGCGUAUAUUAAAGUUGUUGCAGUUAAAAAGCUCGUAGUUGAAUUUAUGAUAUGGCACGCCUGGUCCGCCCCAUUUAGGUGUGUGAGUACCGGCGCGUGCCUAUCAUCCUUCUGCGGACUGCGUCUACCCUUGAUUGGGCCGGGCGUGGGACGUAGAUCGUUUACUUUGAAAAAAUUAGAGUGUUUCAAGCAGGCUUAUGCCUUGAAUACAUUAGCAUGGAAUAAUAAGAUAGGGCUUUGGUUCUAUUUUGUUGGUUUCUAGGACUGAAGUAAUGAUUGAUAGGGAUAGUUGGGGGUGCUAGUAUUGAACGGCCAGAGGUGAAAUUCUUGGAUUCGUUCAAGACUAACUAAUGCGAAAGCAUUCACCAAGGAUGUCUUCUUUAAUCAAGAA